UAUUUUAAAAGAAUUAUUGAUAAAAAAUAUUUUAAAGCUAUUGACAUAGAAAAAGUAAAAGUAUAUAUUAGUUUAUGUUGUAUAAAUGAUUGAGAUUGGCAAGUUAGAGACGGAAGAUAAAAAUAUGGUCAAAGUAAUAAAGAGUCUAUGGUGAAUGCCUAGGAGCUUUAAGGCGAAGAAGGUCGUGGUAAGCUGCGAAAAGCUUGGGGGAGAAGCAAACAUUUUAUGAUCCCGAGAUUACCGAAUGGAGUAAUCCAAUUAGCUAGAUGCUAAUUAUCUACUGCGUAGGCAGUAGAGGCUAUACCAGGGGAAGUGAACCAUCUAAGUACCCUGAGGAAAAGAAAUCAAAGAGAUUCCCUAAGUA
rnacentral:rRNA from 1 species